rnacentral:lncRNA from 13 species
AGACCGCACAAGAUGCAGUCUCCCCUGGCUGAGAAUGCCGGAUCCUUGUACCCAUGUGGAUGAGAUGCAACUUACGUAAUGAGAAUGGAGGCGUUUCAGGCAAUGUGACAGAGACAUGUGCAGAUGAAGAAGGAUUUUCAGCCCCUCUGCGGGAAACUGGAAUUGGCAAAUGGUUACUCAGUAAGUGAAGAGAACUGACUUCAUCAUCCUCAGCAAAGUUUCCAGUGCUACAAGAAUUCAAGCCUUACAGCUCUGCUCCUACAAUUGUCAGAGGCCUCUUGGGGAUGGCAAGUACAAAGGAGACUGAAGAAAGACAUAUUCCAGUCACCCCCAAGUUCAUUUCCACUUCAGGCUGAGGUCCUGCUGGCCAAGGGGAAGCUCUGUCUCUUUCAAUUUGGUUUGAAUUGAGACCAUCCAUCCUGGCCUUCUGCUUAGCUGCCCUGAAAGGCAGGCAGUUGAUGAAUGGAGCGUACUACAAAAGAAAGCCGGCGGGCACACAUGGGUCUGGUGCCGCUUCUGUCAGGGCGGCUCAAAGGGAAGGCUGCACCACAUGGAUAUCUUUCUGGUUCAGAAAGGGUUAAAUCACUGGUUUUGGCCUUAAUCCAACUCAGAACCUCAACAAAAUGA